AAUCGUUCUCCUGAUUCAAAUAUCAAAAGAAGUCGGUUUGAUUGUAUAAUCACGUGAAUAAUAUGAUUACGAAUUGAUUUAAACAUGCUUACAAUUAUUAGAUUCUCAUUGAGGACAUAUUUUGAGUUCAUAACUAAAGUGUAUACAACAAAUUAUGAUCCAAUCAUUUACGUUCAACCCAACUCCAAAGGACAUGUGCUUUUCUAGUCUAAUAAGAGUGAAAGUAAUAGGAAACUACAUCUAAACUUGAAACCCCCACAAUGGUGCUAAGUCUCGCUAUAAACUUAAGAUUUCCAGUUUGUUGUGUACCAUAUUUAGUGAAUAAAAUUAAAACGUAUUAGUUUAUAAUUAGAAUCUCAUGCACAAAAGACAAUGCCAGUGCUUUGCUCAUUUAUAGUGGGAAAAAUCCCAAGAAAAUAUUAUAAUAGUACCUAUUUUGGCUGCCUUCGAGAAGAAACCCUGAUAUCUGCCAGAGCACCAAUCAAAAUGUCACUUGAGUCAAAGGUUAUACAAUCUAAAUAAAUAAAUAACUCAAUGACUGACAUAAACUUAAAAGAUUACCAAGAGAGUUCAAACAAAAUAUAUCUUACUAUGACCCAACCUCUGGGCCAAGAGUCCUCUCCGAUUACUGCCGAGGAAAACCAAAUCAUUGGGGAAUCAGUGCAAGUAUUUGUAUGAGUACAUAUAUGGUUUCACUAGCUAAUAAGCCAUAGCCAAAAGCCCAAGAUACCAAGAAAGAUACCUCAUUCAAGAAUUGUUGGAAGUCAAAGUCUAGUACUGUUGCCUUGUAUUGCAAUGGUAUUUCCAUUAGUGCAGAAUUUUCCACAUAUAAUACUUUCAUUGUAAUAAUGUCUGGUUUCUUUUGGGGUAUUGUUUUCUCAAAAAUGAAUACAGUGAGCGGAGCACUAUGC
rnacentral:lncRNA from 1 species